GGCCCGGUGGCUCAGUGGUUAGAGUACUUAGCAUAUAUCUGGGGAAGUGGGGUGGACCUGGGUUCAAAUCCCGGGAUGGUCA